UGGCCCAAUGGGCUAAAUGACUUUUUCUGUGUUUGGGCUUCCUUCCUAAUCGCCGGUUCCAACUCGGCCGACUCGGUAAUCCCCCAACCUCAUCUCCUCGUUCUUCUCCACCGUCGUCUCCGGCCAUGCCGACUCCGGUCGCAGCUUCUAGAAUCUCUAUGUGGGUCUUUUCAACAAAAAUUUACACCAACAAACUCAUCUUCGGUACUAAAUUAGGGUUAGGGUUGGUCCGCGUUUUGUUGAAAGAGAAUGCCCAGAAUUGCCUUGCCAGUUGCAGAAUAGAAGCCAUUGACAAGGAUGCUAUUUACAGGCACUCUUCUUAGCAUGUCAAAAUUUAGUGAAGGAACUAUAUUCUGGCUUUGGAGUAAAAGAAAUACAUUUGCACAAGAGUUUCUGUCUACAAACUCCGACACCUAGCUAGAAGCAUAAUGGAUGGCGGAAGGUGCACAGCGCAUGAUGCUCAGAGGUAGCAUCCCUAGGAUUACAUGGUAUAUUCCACCUCAGCUGGCUUUGGAAUUUCUGAGGGACCAUUUCAAAUUUUCAAUGAAGGAUUAAGCAAUGAUAACAUGCAAGAAGUUGCUACCAUCCAUGUCAGUAGAAGUCUUUACAAAGGAGAGCAAGAGGAACUUACUGAAUUUUUUCCCAUCAUGUCCAGUUUGUUGGACAGAUUGGGGCAUUUUUCAUGUAUCAAGUAAUAAUUUGGUCGGUAUUUAGUAAUAUUUUUCAUGUAAACAUAAAAGAAUAAAGGGAGGUUUAUGUUUUCUUGUUUUC